rnacentral:rRNA from 1 species
UGGGGGAAUAUUGCGGCAAUGGGGGGAAACCCUGACGCAGCAACGCCGCGUGAUCGAAGAAGGUCUUCGGAUUGUAAAGAUCUUUUAUCAGGGACGAAGAAAGUGACGGUACCUGAUGAAUAAGCUCCGGCUAACUACGUGCCAGCAGCCGCGGUAAUACGUAGGUGGCGAGCGUUAUCCGGAUUUACUGGGUGUAAAGGGCGCGUAGGCGGGAAUGCAAGUCAGAUGUGAAAUCCAAGGGCUCAACCCUUGAACUGCAUUUGAAACUGUAUUUCUUGAGUGUCGGAGAGGUUGACGGAAUUCCUAGUGUAGCGGUGAAAUGCGUAGAUAUUAGGAGGAACACCAGUGGCGAAGGCGGUCAACUGGACGAUAACUGACGCUGAGGCGCGAAAGCGUGGGGAGCAAACAGGAUUAGAUACCCUGGUAGU